AUUUAUUAGAACAAAACCAAUUGGCUUCGGCCAUCGAUUGGUGAAUCUGAAUAACUACGCUGAUCGCACAGUCUAUGCACUGGCGACGUAUCCUUCAAGUGUCUGCCUUAUCAACUGUCGAUGGUAGUCUAUAAGCCUACCAUGGUUGUAACGGGUAACGGAGAAUAAGGGUUCGACUCCGGAGAGGGAGCCUGAGAAACGGCUACCACAUCCAAGGAAGGCAGCAGGCGCGCAAAUUACCCACUCUCAGAACAAGGAGGUAGUGACGAAAAAAAACAAGACAGUUCUCUAUGAGGUCUGUCAUCGGAAUGGGGACAAUCAAAACCCUUUUUCAAGGAUCUUCUGGUGGGGGAGUCGGCUGCCGCCAGCCGCCGUGAUUAUUGCUCCACUAAUAUAGAUUAAUAAAGUUGUUGCGAAAAAAAAGCUCGUAGGUUGAUCUGCCGUCAUCACGACGUGUUUCAUCAAGGAAUACUUGAUGAGGUGAACGCCCUCGCUGGUCUUCUCUUGCUGCUCCAUAAUGAGCGGGCUGGGUGGCUAUCGCGUUUACUUUGAAAAAAGCACAGUGCUGAAAGCGGU
rnacentral:rRNA from 1 species